rnacentral:rRNA from 1 species
CCGGAGGAAGGUGGGGAUGACGUCAAGUCCUCAUGGCCCUUAUAGGUGGGGCUACACACGUCAUACAAUGGAUGGUACAAAGGGUCGCCAACCCGCGAGGGGAGCCAAUCCCAUAAAGACCAUUCGUAGUCCGGAUCGCAGUCUGCAACUCGACUGCGUGAAGUCGGAAUCGCUAGUAAUCGUGGAUCAGAAUGUCACGGUGAAUACGUUCCCGGGUCCUU